rnacentral:rRNA from 1 species
AUUAAACGCUGGCGGCAUGCCUUACACAUGCAAGUCGAACGGCAGCACGGGGGCAACCCUGGUGGCGAGUGGCGGACGGGUGAGUAACACAUCGGAACGUGCCCUGGAGUGGGGGAUAACGCAGCGAAAGCUACGCUAAUACCGCAUAUUCUGUGAGCAGGAAAGCAGGGGAUCGCAAGACCUUGCGCUUUGGGAGCGGCCGAUGUCGGAUUAGCUAGUUGGUGGGGUAAAGGCUUACCAAGGCGACGAUCCGUAGCGGGUCUGAGAGGAUGAUCCGCCACACUGGGACUGAGACACGGUCCAGACUCCUACGGGAGGCAGCAGUGGGGAAUUUUGGACAAUGGGCGCAAGCCUGAUCCAGCCAUGCCGCGUGAGUGAAGAAGGCCUCGGUUG